CUCUUGUAAUGGGGAUGACUUUGGGAGCGGAUCAGAACCUUGUGUUAUUGAUGACGACUGUCUUCUUCUUGAGUCACCUUGCUGCCCUAAAGACCUGAGGUUCAACAAUGUCACCAAGUGCUGUUAUGCCCCUGUGACCAGCAACUCUCCAAGAAUCUUCUUGACUAAUAAAGGAUUAUUCAGCCUCUUUGUGAUUUGGAAUUUACUAUGGUGGAUUACUGAAGAAUAGUAACAAUUAUAUUGGAAACGAAUAGGAAUAGUGUACUGAAAAAACAGAAGACUGGAUGGAUGUCAAACCAAAAGAAAUAUGUCUUAUAUACCAAUGCUUUUCAAUAUUUUAAAACAAAAAAACUGGUGUUAGCCUACAUGCCAUAUCUAAAUGUGU